GAUGAACGCUGACAGAAUGCUUAACACAUGCAAGUCUACUUGAAUUUGGGUUUUUAACUUAGGUUUGGGUGGCGGACGGGUGAGUAACGCGUAAAGAACUUGCCUCACAGCUAGGGACAACAUUUAGAAAUGAAUGCUAAUACCUAAUAUUAUGAUAAUAGGGCAUCCUAUAAUUAUGAAAGCUAUAUGCGCUGUGAGAGAGCUUUGCGUCCCAUUAGCUAGUUGGAGAGGUAACGGCUCACCAAGGCGAUGAUGGGUAGCCGGCCUGAGAGGGUGAUCGGCCACAAGGGGACUGAGACACGGCCCUUACUCCUACGGGAGGCAGCAGUGGGGAAUAUUGGACAAUGGACCGAGAGUCUGAUCCAGCAAUUCUGUGUGCACGAUGAAGUUUUUCGGAAUGUAAAGUGCUUUCAGUUGGGAAGAAAGAAAUGACGGUACCAACAGAAGAAGUGACGGCUAAAUACGUGCCAGCAGCCGCGGUAAUACGUAUGUCACGAGCGUUAUCUGGAUUUAUUGGGCGUAAAGCGCGUCUAGGUGGUUAUAUAAGUCUGAUGUGAAAAUGCAGGGCUCAACUCUGUAUUGCGUUGGAAACUGUAUAACUAGAGUACUGGAGAGGUAAGCGGAACUACAAGUGUAGAGGUGAAAUUCGUAGAUAUUUGUAGGAAUGCCGAUGGGGAAGCCAGCUUACUGUACAGAUACUGACGCUGAAGCGCGAAAGCGUGUGUAGCAAACAGG
rnacentral:rRNA from 1 species